UGAUAUAUGUAAAGCAUACUUUUGUUCUUUAGCUGGGAUACUUACAGUAUUUAAAUAACUACUUACAGGGAAUAUUGUCUUUAACGUGUUUUAGCUCCGACAGCUCCCAGCAACCUUAAGUUGACUGUUGAGUCAUCCACCUUGAUAAAGGCGUCGUGGACUAAGCCUCUGAAGUUUAAUGGUGUCUUUAAACGAUAUGUAGUGAUUUACGGCAGUAGAUGUAGAGAACCAAAGCAUGAGCACAGAUACAAGAUUAUGAGUUCAUGACUAUUUAUUAUUUGUCUUAAAGAAUGGUGUCAUGCCGACAAUACCUUAUGGUUAAUAUCGCUUGUCGAUUUUCCCAACUACGAUAUAUUUGCUUAGUGAAGAUGGAAGCUGACAUGGAUCUUUUAAUUCUGUUUCUGACUUACAGCUCCCGGUUCUGCUCCAAUCAUCGACAAAAAAAAAACAAAAGCCGAGGAUGCACACACCAUAAAAGUGCAGUGGAAUGAAAUUGCAAAGGAGGAUCAAAACGGCCUCAUAUUGGGUUAUGAGGUUUUAUACAAAGAAAAAGGCCAACAAAGUUCCAGGUUGAACACUACAACGACAAACGCCAUAAUCAGGCACUUGAAACCAUACACACUAUACUGCAUCAAAGUUCAAGGGUUCACAAAAGCUGGGGAGUCACCAGUCAGCCCCUGCUUUGAUAUCAGGACAUCGGAUAAAGGUUCAAGCCAGCCACUUAAUGUUCAAGUUCAAGCCAUUUCUUCCGUUUCAAUUCUUGUAAAGUGGGAUGCACCAGCUCACCCUAAUGGA